rnacentral:tRNA from 1 species
CCAACUGUGGCUCAGUUGGUAGAGCAUGGUGUUCUCAACGCCAGGGUUGUGGGUUUGAUUCCCACCGGGGA